GAUUUCUGGCUUGAAACAUUUGGCCGGCCACGGUUUCGUGUGUUAGUGCUUUGUGUUCUGGCCAUCCUUCCAGUGGCUAUGCAUGUCUCUUCAUUGAGGCGUGCGUGGUAUUGGAUCUUUUACUUUGAAAAAAUUAGAGUGUUUCAAGCAGGCUUUAUGCUAUGAAUACAUUAGCAUGGAAUAAUAAUUUAGGACUUCGGUUCUAUUUUGUUGGUUUCUAGAACAGAAGUAAUGAUUGAUAGGGAUAGUUGGGGGUGCUAGUAUUCAGCGGCCAGAGGUGAAAUUCUCGGAUUCGCUGAAGACUAACUUAUGCGAAAGCAUU
rnacentral:rRNA from 1 species